UUGCGCAGUAUAGGUGGGAGGCAAAGAGUAUAUGUUCGCGGAUGUAUAUGAGCCAUUAGUGAGAUACCACUCUGAUUAAACUAGAAUUCUAAUAUUGAUUGCCAUAAGCUGGCCAAUAGACAGUUUCUGGUGGGCAGUUUGACUGGGGCGGUCGCCUCCUAAAAGGUAACGGAGGCGUGCAAAGGUUUCCUCAGGCUGGUCGGAAAUCAGUCGUAGAGUAUAAAGGCAUAAGGAAGCUUGACUGCGAGACCUACAAGUCGAGCAGAGACGAAAGUCGGCCUUAGUGAUCCGACAGUACUG
rnacentral:rRNA from 2 species